UUUACUGAGUCUUUUGUUUGAAUGCAAUGUACACUGCAAACUUUUUUAAUAGCGAACUGAUUUUGUUAAAAACUUUCUUGCAAUACUUGCCAUGACCUUUAACAUUAAAACCACCCCCAUCUCUUACUCCAGCUUUCAACAAAUUCUGGACAACCUGCCCAUCCAGCUGGAUAUAUGACUGAAAUGACCAGUAGAUUGACGCUCUUUGGUUUUUUAUUUUCGUCGGAUGGCUUGGAGAUGAAGGGUGGUCAGCGGAGGAGGAACACACUGAGGCCAUAGUUAUGGAAACACAGUCAGGAACAUUCCAGAACCAUCACAGAAGCAUAUUAAAACAUACGGGUGAGAAAGAUUGGAGAACAGGUGGCCUAAGUCAUGAGGACUUUGGUUACGAUAUCCAUGGUCAAAAUCAUGAUCAUGAUGAUGGCUUUUUUGAGACCAGCAGCUUCGGAGUGCCACUAGAAGAUGCCUUUCCUGUCAUUGUCUGGGAUAAGUGAUAGAUAAUAAUUAUCAAUUAAUGCAGAAAUUAUCUUUUACUUAGCGCAUAAUAGUGUUAGUAUUUGCAUAGUUUUUUUUUUAUUCAACAAAAUUGUCUGACAUAAAAAUUAAUUAUUUCAUUAUUUUAUUCCUUUUUAAUUUUUAAAUCACUUUAAGAUUGUAAAUCACUACUUCAAUAUUUAAAAAAUAGAGCUGUGCACAUAUUUAUAUACCGGGUGCAUUUUGAACUUUUUUUUUUUUUAGCUCUACCAUAUUUUAAAUAGUUAUUUUAAAAAUUGAAAAUGAUUACUUUUGGCCUGACACUGUACAUAGAGAUAUUUACUUUAGACAAAAGUAUACUGUAGUUCACAUCUAGCUGUAAUAGGUGUUGAGGUAGACUCUUGAGUGUCUCUGACUGUGUUUGGAAAUACCUAACUCUUCUAGACUGUGCAAUAACAUUAGAUUCAGGAAACUCAAUUUGAUGGUUUUAAUGGGAUAUUUCUAUAUGAUUUUUAGUUAACUGGACUAUUACAAAAGAUUUUAAAAAAAACAACAUAUUUUAAGUAGUCUAGUACAUGUCAGAAAUGACACCCUGGACACUUGCUUAACUCCAUAGUCAAAUUGUAAGUUAUUUGUCUUUAUUUCAACCCUAACAAAUACUGGUACUUCUAGGUCUAGUUCUAACUUUUUUAUAUAAAGGUUCAGAUUAACUGCAUUUAAAAUGUGAAGUAAUGAUUGUGGUCUUCUUCGACUUUCAUUAGCUGUGAAUAAACUAUUUAAGUAGUUAACUAUUUUUUUUAUGUUUUUAAAGGUAGAAGAUUUACUAUAUCAGCUAGCUGCUUAGUUCAGCCUCUGCUGCUGUAAUAUAUAUAAAAAAAAAGAAAAUUUUCUAUUUGUAGUGUGAACACUUUCUCAUACAUAACACUUUUUACAAUAUACCCCUUGUUAUUAAUUGUAUUUGAGAAACAAUAAUUGACAAAAAAAACUGUAGUGCUUACCGUCAAAAAAAGAUUAAUGCUUUUAGAUUUAAGUCAACUUAUUGUCCUGAAAGACCGUUUCAAUUUUUGUUUUUGCAGUUAUGCACUAAUUGUGUAAAUAGUGAAGUAGUAUAUAUUUUACCUUAGCUCAGUUCAAUAUGUGCACAAUUAGUGUCCAGAAUCACUGUAAAGCCCCUGAAGGCCAUCAAGGGUGUAUGUUUGUUAGGUGUUUAGGUUAGUAUAACAUAUAUUUUUUUUAAAGAAACACUAAUAAUAUUCAACAAAUGGUUCUUAUUUGACCAGUAUUUAAAAACCUUUUUCAUUUCCUCCUAAAACUGGCUUGACUAGUUUCACUCAUGAAAGUGAUAGGCUUUAUUCAAAUCAUUAGAAAGAUAAUCUUUCUCUCUUUUCUGGAACUCAUGGUAAUCUUAAUGUUGCAUGUUCAUUCCUUACCGUGACAUUCCACUCAUCCUAUCUUUACAUUGGUUCUUUUUAGAAUCAACAAAGAACUUCUAGAAUGACAUUAUCUUAAUUUCAUUAAUACUGAUACCUGUAUUUUGCUAAAACAAAUUCCCCAUUUCUGUCCCCUUAAGUCAUGAUGUGUUAUUGUCAUGUGGGAAUUAGCACAUCUUGUGACCGUGAUGACAUCAAAUUGAGUCAUAAAAAGGUCUUUAAGCCACAAAGGGGUAGCUCUACCCAUGUUAGUUCUUUAUUGUUAUCACUGUCAACUUCAUGCUUCCACAAUACACUCUGUGUGUUUCUCCUCCACACACUGAUGAUUCAAUGUGCUGUGCUGCUUUUUUUUUAAUGUAAAAAUCCUCAUGAAAACUAUUGCCAACAGUAACUGUUGAAACUAUUUGGAAAUUAUUUUUGUGUUUGAGUUCAAAAGGUUGACAUAGUUAAUUACUGAUUCAGUGCAAGAUUAUCUGGAACGGUCUUCCCCGCCUAAAUGAAAAUGUUGGCUCUAAGAUUCCAUACAUAUUGCAGCUCUUACUGGGUUGAGUGAAUAUCAAAAGAAAAAAAAAUAGUAUUGAAAGAUUUUUUUUUAUCUCUUUCAUAGUACGGGGUACUAGAAACAAAAUGAAACCAACAAAAAAAACAACACUUUUUGUAGACUUGGUAUUUAGAAAUGUUUUAUGUGUAUAUACACAGCCAUAUUAUGUUUUGAUAUCUCCAGAAUUUUUUUAACAAAACAUUUUUUUUGACUGUAUGAUUAAAAACGCAUUUUUUGUUUAAGAGUUAAAGGAAGCUCUUAAUAAAUGAGCCAUGGGCACUAUUGUCUAUAUUAGCUUUUUUUUAAAUCAAAGUUAUGAUUUGUGGUACAUUUUAGAUGGAUGACAGUUAAUAUUUUUUGUUAUUGUUCAAAGUGUAAUUAGUGUUGAUGUAUCAUUCAUUCCCUUAUCCUCUUUGAUUGAUUCUGUCUUUCAUCAGUGAACUCCCUUGGUGUGCUGUCUUUCUGCUGUCUCCUCACAAGUUUUUUUGUUAUCUCACAAGUAUCAAUCUAUUUAAUUUGUAACUUUAGUUUAUGCAUUUCAAAAUUACCCAGGCAUUAUUUGGCAUCAAUUCUGCCCCCGCCUCAAUAGCUGUGUGUUACCCAGAGAACUAAAUUGACUGGUGAAUUCAAACCAACUAGCUACACUUUGUGAAACUUGAAACUUGUUUUAAACUUUGUUUGAUUGUUGGACUGUCUCCCGUCAUCCAAGUUAGUUCUCUCAUUUACUGGGCAAAGUAUUUAAGUGAGCAUAUGACUCUUGAAAUUGAAUUCCCUUCUGAUCAUCCAAGAUGUUGGCCAUCUUCUCAGUAGAGACCAGAAGAAAAGCUCUUUAUGGAGCAUUCAGUUGAACUUAAAGAUUCUCUGCCAGGAGACAAUACACUUCUAUGUCAUGGAGUCUUAAAAAGUUUGAGGUGGGAAUGAACAAAUAUCUGGUCCUGUGGUUGGUGAAUGGAGUUAAUUGUUUUAAGGUCACACAUCACCAAAGUCUGUGCAGCACAAACAGAAAUGUGUAUGUCGCUACUUUAGAAUUUUAAAUGUCUUUUGUUUUGAGAUUUUGAUCUUGAACAUUUUGUUUUAACAGUUCAUCGACAUAAAAAUAAUGGAACAUAAAGUUUAACAGUACAUUGUAUUCUAGCAUUAGUUUUGUGUUUAUGGCUGCAUUGCGAUUGUGAAUUGUUUUAAUGCUGUGAACAAAUUUGGCUGUGAUCUGACCUCUGGUCAGUGUCUGACCUCUGGCCAGAAUGUUUUAAAGAAUGUUUUAGUAGGUUAAAUUGAAAUAAAAUUUUGAAAUGAGUUGAGUAUUUGAUGUUCAACAUUUUUUUGUUGUAUGUAAUAUUUUUAUUAUAAAACAGCUUUAAUGUAAUCAUUUAGUCUAUUUGAUAAACGCUACUGGUUGUUAAAUUCUUAGACACAAUUGAAGCUUUUUGUUAUACAAGUGAUAAAAAUAAAAUUUUUAAACUUUGAAAAUGUAUCAAGCUUUUUCAGAAGUGUAGUUUCAGGCAGUCCAAUAGGGAAAGAUUCUUUCAUUAUAUUCUUAAAGACUUAGUUGUCAUGUGUACAAGACUAAUAAUUGUUGUUAUCUCACCUGUGUGAUGAUAUUUGUUUUUUUGGCCUAUCAUCUAGAACGCUGUAAUGAUGAAUGGGUGAGCCUAAAAUACAAAACUAAGCUGAUUCUGUUUCCUCUGUAAACAUUGGCCAGACUUUUUUUUUCUUUACCCAAGAGAAAUAUUUUUCUGCACUGAAUAAUAAUAUCAAUCAUUAUACAAAAUUAUUAAGAUUCUCACUUAAUUUGUAUUUUAAUUAUUUAUCAUUAUUGUCAGCUUUUUUUCAUUUGUGUUUGCCUGUAAUAUUCUUGAAGCUAAUUUUGUAGUGUGAUUCUUCAUUAUUUUAAGUUGUUUUCAGAACAUUCACUGGAUAACAAUCAAAACUUUUAGUACUUUAGGAUACUGGAGUUGUAAUUGUAAAACAUCUCUGUGUUAGAAUAAAUAGAGGCAGUUGUUUUUUGUGGGUUUUUUUUUAAGGACUCCCUUGCAAAGUGUUAACCUCCAAGACUAAGAAUAAUUUUCUAAUUUACUGGGCUAAUGUACCAAAGUGUUUAGGAGAGCAUAUGACUUGAAAUUUAAUUUCCUUCUGAUCAUCCAAGUCGGUGAUAAAAUUUCAAAGCUGGGGUCAGUGUUGUUAAUCAUUCAGGUCAUAGGAUUACAUUAACAUGUAUUAACUUGUUUAUGAUUAACAAACAAUACACUCCAAGGAUCUAGAUCUAUAGUUUCACCAAGACAAACUUGUAGUUUUAUUUACUUAGUGUUUACCUCAUCUAUCCAUGUACAAACAUUGUUUGGAUGUAAAUAAAAACAUUUCUUUUUAUUAUUUGUACUUGUUUUUGUCAUCCUUGCAACAUAUUGCCAUGUUUUUAUGGGCAAAUACACAAACUAGGUUUAUAUCUCAUAAUUAAGUACUGAACAAACAAAAAAUUGCUAAUUUGUUUGAAUGACUGGACAUGCAGUACAGAUGACCAGAUUUUUGUGAAGGUUUAUUUUCUUGUCAUUAAAAAUAAAAUGUUGAAUAAAGUA
rnacentral:sRNA from 1 species